UUCUACAUACACCCGUCUCUCUAUCCCCACGAGAACACGAACCAUCCCGGCCACCCGGCGCUAGGGUUCCCUCCACCGCCACGCCCCAUCCCUCUGCUCCCAGCAACCCUCUCCACCCUCUCCACCCUCUCCCAUCCCCAGUCGUCAUCGUAGCCCCUCGCCGUCGUUCGAUAUCCAAGACGGAGCCUCGGCCGACAGCUCCUUGGAGCACGCCGCCCGCCGGUGGAUGCCCUGAUUCUGCGUGACCCAGCCAGAGACUCACCUCGCCACCUUGGCGCCUCCCGCAGGAUCUCCGCCACCGCCUAGCGCUUCUGUGCGCAAGGAUGCCGACGCCUCUCCCUGGCCCUCCUGGCGGACAGCCUCCAGCCCACACAAGCUUCCCUGUUCUGGCUCUGUCGGCUACCAUGGUUGAGUAGAGCGAGGAGAUCGAGAGGGGAAAUAGUCACUUGAUUUUUGCGGAUUAUGUUGGGCAUGGAGAUUGAUCUUAACUUUUUGGUUGUUCGCAGAUUCAAUGAUGACAACACGCACACCUUUCCCUGAUGCUUGGGCAAAGGCAUGUAUGUCCGAUGUGCUGGCAAAACUUUAUAGAUGCAGAUUACAUACAUUAGAAAUUGCCAACUCGGUGGAUGAUAAAUACUAUGACUUGGGACUCAGAAAAAAGAUCAACACGUAGAUGCAGAUUACAUAGAUCAGGACUUGCUAACUCGGCGUAUGACACAUACUAAACGACAUCAACACGUAGGUGAGACCAUUGACUAUUAGAGGUGAGUCGGCAAGCUGUUUUCUUCUAUGGUUUGGCAUGUAACUUUGUGUUCUCUAGCUCUUUUUAGUUUUAUAUUUUUCUAACAAACAAGACCAACCUUAACUUAAGAAGAAAAGCAUCAUUAUAACCAUGAAAAAAAAUCUGCUUAAAUGUUAGGCUUUUGUUCGUCUAUUAAGUCAUUACCCGUCUAAACGAGACACAGAAAUAAUGAAUUCUUACAUGGUAAGUUUUUGUUUCAUUUUCAUUCUUUGCCUUAUCCCGUGUUGGAAAAGAAGUUCAAUUGUUUUUUUCCUCACAAUGUACCAAAGAUUCUGAUGAAAGAUGCUUAUUUUUCUCUCAGCUUCAAGAAACAGUCACUAUAUACUCUGUUUUGUAUAUAUUAUGUAGUUGUAAGGAGAUGUUUUAUUUUCUUUAUAUGCUACUAUUUUAACAUCUUGGAAGAGUCCUGAAUUUAUUGGAGACAACAAAGUGGGCGUACCAUGUGAGUUAUUUGGCACCUUGAUGCAGCAAAUCAACACAUGUUUGAGCUACAACGGAGGUCACUUAAAUAAAUGUAACGUGAUUUACCCCUUUAUUUCUUUAUCUCGAGAGACAAUGUAGAUAUAUGCAUGUGUUUACAUUUGUUGUGGUUGCAUGUAUCCUUGACUUUUGUUAGGCUGGGGACAAGCGUAUCAAUUUGUAUAAUGCUAAUGAUGUUGUCACAUAAUAGUGUAAUGUAUGUGUUAUUGUGAUGUUAUCCAGUCAAACUCUUUAGAAAACAAUGGUCGCCGCCAGAAGUUGGCUGGGGUGAUUGUUGAAUAUAGAUGGGAGCUUCUUUGAGGAAAGCCAAACAAGCAGCUGGGGAUGUAUCUUGCGGGACUUGAUGGUUACAGUUUGGGGAGCAGCAGAGUUGCUUGCUAGCAUCUUUUUUCUUGCAUCUACGAACUGAUGAUGCUUUACUUGUUGUUGUUUCCCGUGGUAGUACAUUAUGGCUCACUGUUGUUUAUGCUCGGACAGCAGCAGAGGAAUAGACUCGGCAAGGAAGGGAGCUACUCCAGUGUAGUCGGUGGAAUUGACUGGCAAAGUAAAUCAUGAAGCUCCUGGUUGGACCAAGAGGCUGAGAAUUGGGGCUGCACCUCCUACAACAGUCAAUUUCGUUGGUGGCCUGCCAACAACACUGGUGAAGGAACAAGGGUGGCCCGAGACGAUAACAGGGGGCUCUUGAACUGGCAAAGCCAGAAGCCACCAUCGCUUCAUUGUCCCCGGAGAUCGUUUGGUGAUGUCCGAUGGAUAUCACGUGACGGAGUGGAGACGCACACUCCCCUGCCCCAACUUUGGUGCCGCCACCUACCUAUGCGGGGCACAGUCCUGCCUGACCCAGCCUACAUCUUGAUUGUAAAUUUCUCUCACCUUCUAUCUCGUGUUCAUGUGGUCGUAUUGAUUUUGCCUUUUGAGAAGUGUUGAAAGAAGAUUAUGUGCUUCAGACGACUGAAUGUCCAGUAAUAUCAUCAACCUUCAGUCAGCAGCGGCUCCGAACUCUAUCACCUCAAAUGGUUUAGCAUAGAUCAUUCACAUGUGAGGAUGAAAGCUUGGAUCAGCUUCUGUAGUCGCUAUCUUUCAUUUACAACCGAGUUUUCUUAUGGUUAUAGGAUAGAAACUUUGUAUUAUUUUUCCAUCUUCUUUCCUUCGUGAAACUAGCUGCAGCAAGUAGCAAUUUAAA